GCCGAGGUAGCUCAGCCCGGUAGAGCACCUGACUGAAAAUCAGGGAGUCCUGGGUCCAAAUCCCAGCCUCGGCA
rnacentral:tRNA from 1 species